GUUCCUUUUCCUGAGGCCGCGUCUAAUUCUCCACGGUGCUCGCUGAGGAAUCCACGUACCUUAACCGCCUUGGGCUUUGUGCUUCCCUAGUUUGGCAUUAAUUAACUCUGACUCAGAGUUACCACAGGUUGACUCAGGAGCACCUGGGAGGUUUGCCCUAGGCUCGACUAGGCCAGUCCCCAACCAGGUUCCUGGUGAUUUCGGGAUGCAUAGCUAAAUAUGUUCAGCGUGCACUACCAGUCUCUUGGUUGAAGUUUUUCAGUCCUCUCUUAGUUGGUGAAGUUUGUCCUCAGGAAGGACUGAUGAAUAUAAUCAUCCCAGUCCCUGGGACACAGAGUCUGAGGCAGGGACUGGUGUGCACAAAGUUUACUGGAGAGCACCCUUGGGAUGAGCAAUUGUGACAGCGUGAAGGAAGGAGAAUCAGACAGAAAGGAGAUGCGGAACUGCAGUUGAUAGUGCACUGGUAAAUGUUUAACAACCAGUUCUCGGGGGGAGUGAAAGCCCAAAUUUAUAAUAUUUUCCAGCAUGUAAAUACUUUCAUCGUGGUCAUUUUUAAGCUAUAAACAUGAUGUCACUGAGCAUAGAUCUGGGGGGAAAUGCAUAGUGGCACCCACAGAGAAAAACAGACAUAUCCUCAAGAGCAUAGAUAAUAGUAAAUGUAAUAAAAUAUGUAGGAAGUAAUGAAUAUUGAGUAUUUUUUACCUUGGUUUUGAAUGUAAUUUAUUUAAUUUUGAGUUUACAUAAUUUGUUUAGCAAAGACUAUAACAACCUGUUUGUAAAAUUCCUAAAAAUGUUAAAAGUUGAUUCUCACAGGACA